GUUUGUCCAGCCUCUCGUUCCCACCUCUCUACGCAGCUGGAAGAGAACACGACGUCGGGAUUAUUCACAAUUUACUAUACUUCGAAUAGAAGGUGAAAUAAUGAGGCUCCUCGUCGAGUUAACUACUGCAAAGACAAAGUUCGAAGAUGGGUGACUAAAACCACCGCAGUGACCAUAGUCGGUGCUAGGUUGUCUUUUGACAUAAUUUGAAUGAUGUCCUUUUGAGCAGGAUCACCGACUGAAUGUUGUAGCUGCCUCAUCAGGCUCCUCAGCACUGAUGCAACAUGAUUUCCAUCCUUUGGAUACUACAGUAGUCCUACUGUGUGGUGACCAUCUGGACUAUGGAGACUGCUCUCUGGGUCUUCCACACUGACGAGUUGGCGUGACCGUUCCACAGCUGUACAACUUGCUGGAAGGGAUGGAUUCGGUUUUCAUGGUGAGGUGUGACUUGCAGCCCAAGCUGGAUGGGUUGCUAGGGCUGGAAUCUUUUCCUGGAUACCACUACGUUCAAACCUAAAGAUUUUUCAGCAGACUCGCAGGCUAGAGAUUAAAGUUCUUUAAAGAAACUGAUACAUGUGCUUUGCUUUACAAAACCAUUAAGCCAUCUAGAAAAGUUUCAUUCCUACAGUUUUGUACAAGGAUUUACUCAACUGAGGCCUUUAGAGAAAUUUCAAAUAAAUGGUUGACAACA